CUACGGGAGGCUGCAGUCGAGAAUCUUUCGCAAUGGCCGAAAGGCUGACGAAGCAAUACCGCGUGAAGGAUGACACCCCUCGGGGCGUAAACUUCUUUUCUUAGGGAAGAAUUAGUGACGUUACCUAAGGAAUAAGCAACUGCUAACUUCGUGCCAGCAGCAGCGGUAAUACGAAGGUUGCAAGCGUUAUCCGGAAUUAUUGGGCGUAAAGCGUCUGUAGGUGGUUUGUUAAGUCUCAAAUUAAAACUCUAGGCUCAACCUAGAGAUAGUUUGAGAAACUAAUAAACUAGAGGAUGGGAGAGGUAAGCGGAAUGGCCGGUGUAGUAGUAAUAUGCAUUGAUAUCGGCUAGAACACCAAAUGCAAAGGCAGCUUACUAGAACAUUCCUGACACUGAGAGACGAAAGCGUGGGUAGCGAAUGGGAUUAGAUACCCGAGUAGUC
rnacentral:rRNA from 1 species